CUAGACAAGGGUUCCUGCGCCGAAGAUGUACCGGGGCUCAAGCCGCGAGCCGAAGCUUUGGGUUUACACGCGAGUGUAAGCGGUAGCGGAGCGUUCCGUAGGUCCGUGAAGGGACAGCCGUGAGGCAUCCUGGAGAUAUCGGAAGUGCGAAUGCUGACAUGAGUAGCGAUAAAGAGGGUGAGAGGCCCUCUCGCCGAAAGUCCAAGGGUUCCUGCUCAACGCUAAUCGGAGCAGGGUUAGU
rnacentral:rRNA from 13 species